rnacentral:lncRNA from 1 species
CGGUUUUCUUUUUUCUUGUGUCCCACUUUAUUCCCUGAGCCACAGGGAAUCCGUUUUCUAGUACUUCUCUGUUAUAAAGUCUGCCUGCCUUAGACAAACACAUUUGGAAAAUAGAAGUGCAACCACAAGGAUGUGCAGACCCUAUCAGAAUAAAAUCGUAGAACCUUACCAGUCAUCCGGUAUAAUUUCCACAUUUUCCAGAUGAGGUCCGGGGAAUGAGGUGAUUCGCCCAAAAGCACACUACAAAUUGGAGUCACCAGCAGGUCUGCUAUUUUGCCACUAAACCAAUCUGCCGGUCACACCUUGGCUGUAAAGUGUCCUAACAGCCACCUACUUAUGAUUACUGCUUUCUUACCAAUAACCUCCCCAGCCUGUUGUGUGGCUCCUACAUCUUGAACAAAAGCGACCAAGGCAUACAUCUGUAGGAGACCAGAAUAUGCCACCCCAAAAUAUGCCUCCUUGGCCUAAGGAUUAUUCUGAGCUAGUAAUUUUGAGAAACAGAAGCUAUGAAAACAGCAUAAGCUACCCCUUUGAAAGAGAAAUUCACCCCGGCCACCACCCCGUCUGGGAAGUGAGGAGCGUCUCUGCCCAGCCGCCCCGUCUGAGAAGUGAGGAGCCCCUCCGCCCGGCAGCCGCCCCGUCUGGGAAGUGAGGAGCCCCUCUGCCCGGCCGCCAGGCCGUCUGGGAGGUGUGCCCAACAGCUCAUUGAGAACGGGCCAUGAUGACGAUGGCGGUUUUGUCGAGUAGAAAGUGGGGAAAUGUGGGGAAAGGAAGGAGAGAUCAGAUUGUUGCUGUGUCUGUGUGGAGAGAAGUAGACACAGGAGACUCCAUUUUGUUAUGUACUAAGAAAAAUUCUUCUGCCUUGGGAUGCUGUUAAUCUAUAACCUUACCCUCAGCCCCAUGCUCUCUGAAACAUGUGCUGUGUCCACUCAGGGUUAAAUGGAUUAAGGGCGGUGCAAGAUGUGC